rnacentral:piRNA from 1 species
UGAUGAGAAUGUAUGGUUGGUAGGGCAUGA